rnacentral:rRNA from 1 species
UGUGGCAUACGGCUCAGUAACACGUAGUCAACAUGCCCAGGGGACGUGGAUAACCUCGGGAAACUGAGGAUAAACCGCGAUAGGUCAUUACUUCUGGAAUGGGUAAUGACUUAAAUCUAUAUGGCCCCUGGAUUGGACUGCGGCCGAUCAGGCUGUUGGUGAGGUAAUGGCCCACCAAACCUGUAACCGGUACGGGCUCUGAGAGGAGGAGCCCGGAGAUGGGCACUGAGACAAGGGCCCAGGCCCUAUGGGGCGCAGCAGGCGCGAAACCUCUGCAAUAGGCGAAAGCUUGACAGGGUUACUCUGAGUGAUUUCCGUUAAGGAGAUCUUUUGGCACCUCUAAAAAUGGUGCAGAAUAAGGGGUGGGCAAGUCUGGUGUCAGCCGCCGCGGUAAUACCAGCACCCCGAGUGGUCGGGACGUUUAUUGGGCCUAAAGCAUCCGUAGCCGGUUCUACAAGUCUUCCGUUAAAUCCACCUGCUUAACAGAUGGGCUGCGGAAGAUACUAUAGAGCUAGGAGGCGGGAGAGGCAAGCGGUACUCGAUGGGUAGGGGUAAAAUCCGUUGAUCCAUUGAAGACCACCAGUGGCGAAGGCGGCUUGCCAGAACGCGCUCGACGGUGAGGGAUGAAAGCUGGGGGAGCAAACCGGAUUAGAUACCCGGGUAGUCCCAGCUGUAAACGAUGCAGACUCGGUGAUGAAUUGGCUUAUUGCUAAUUCAGUGCCGCAGGGAAGCCGUUAAGUUUGCCGCCUGGGGAGUACGGUCGCAAGACUGAAACUUAAAGGAAUUGGCGGGGGAGCACCACAAGGGGUGAAGCCUGCGGUUCAAUUGGAGUCAACGCCGGAAAUCUUACCGGGGGCGACAGCAGAGUGAAGGUCAAGCUGAAGACUUUACCAGACAAGCUGAG